rnacentral:rRNA from 1 species
UACGGAGGGUGCAAGCGUUGUUCGGAAUCACUGGGCGUAAAGCGCGUGUAGGCGGCUCGCUAAGUCUGAUGUGAAAGCCCGGGGCUUACCCCCGGAAGUGCAUUGGAAACUGGCAGGCUAGAGUCCCGGCGGGGAGGGUGGAAUUCCUGGUGUAGCGGUGAAAUGCGUAGAUAUCAGGAGGAACACCGGUGGCGAAGGCGGCCCUCUGGACGGUGACUGACGCUGAGACGCGAAGGCGUGGGGAGCAAACAGG